AACGAACGCUGGCGGCAUGCCUAACACAUGCAAGUCGAACGAGACCUUCGGGUCUAGUGGCGCACGGGUGCGUAACGCGUGGGAACCUGCCUUUAGGUUCGGAAUAACUCAGAGAAAUUUGAGCUAAUACCGGAUGAUGUCUUCGGACCAAAGAUUUAUCGCCUUUAGAUGGGCCCGCGUUGGAUUAGCUAGUUGGUGGGGUAAAGGCCUACCAAGGCGACGAUCCAUAGCUGGUCUGAGAGGAUGAUCCGCCACACUGGGACUGAGACCCGGCCCAGACUCCUACGGGAGGCAGCAGUGGGGAAUAUUGGACAAUGGGCGAAAGCCUGAUCCAGCACUGCCGCGUGAGUGAUGAAGGCCUUAGGGUUGUAAAUCUCUUUUACCCGAGAUGAUAAUGACAGUAUCUGGAGAAUAAGCUCCGGCUAACUCCGUG
rnacentral:rRNA from 1 species